rnacentral:rRNA from 1 species
GACGAACGCUGGCGGCGUGCUUAACACAUGCAAGUCGAACGGAAAGGCCCUGCUUUUGUGGGGUGCUCGAGUGGCGAACGGGUGAGUAACACGUGAGUAACCUGCCCUUGACUUGGGGAUAACUUCAGGAAACUGGGGCUAAUACCGGAUAGGAGCUCCGGCUGCAGGGUGGGGGUUGGAAAGUUUCGGCGGUUGGGGCUGGACUCGCGGCUUAUCAGCUUGUUGGUGGAGUAGUGGCUUACCAAGGCUGUGACGGGUAGCCGACAUGAGAGGGUGACCGGCGCCAUUGCGCCUGAGGUACGCACCAGAGUGGAACGGUGGGCAGCGGUGGAGAGUCUUGCCCAACAAGGGGGAGUGUGUUGAGAAGGCCCCGCGUGCGGGAAGCCCGCCUUUGGGUUGAGAACUGCUUUGGCCUGUUACGAACGGUGAGUGACGGUACUGGGUAAAGAAGCACCGGCUAACUACGUG